rnacentral:rRNA from 1 species
UAGGGAAUCUUCCGCAAUGGACGCAAGUCUGACGGAGCAACGCCGCGUGAGUGAAGAAGGAUUUCGGUUCGUAAAACUCUGUUGUUAGAGAAGAACAGCGCAUAGAGUAACUGUUAUGCGUGUGACGGUAUCUAACCAGAAAGCCACGGCUAACUACGUGCCAGCAGCCGCGGUAAUACGUAGGUGGCAAGCGUUGUCCGGAUUUAUUGGGCGUAAAGCGAGCGCAGGCGGUUAGAAGAGUCUGAAGUGAAAGGCAGUGGCUCAACCAUUGUAGGCUUUGGAAACUGUUUAACUUGAGUGCAGAAGCGGAGAGUGGAAUUCCAUGUGUAGCGGUGAAAUGCGUAGAUAUAUGGAGCAACACCGGUGGCGAAAGCGGCUCUCUGGUCUGUAACUGACGCUGAGGCUCGAAAGCGUGGGGAGCGAACAGG